rnacentral:rRNA from 1 species
UACGAAGGGGGCUAGCGUUGCUCGGAAUCACUGGGCGUAAAGCGCACGUAGGCGGAUUGUUAAGUCAGGGGUGAAAUCCUGGAGCUCAACUCCAGAACUGCCUUUGAUACUGGCGAUCUCGAGUCCGGGGAGAGGUGAGUGGAACUGCGAGUGUAGAGGUGAAAUUCGUAGAUAUCGCAAGAACACCAGUGGCGAAGGCGGCUCACUGGCCCGGUACUGACGCUGAGGUGCGAAACGUGGGGACAACAGGGAGUAAGAUACCUU